rnacentral:rRNA from 1 species
UACGGGGGGGGCAAGCGUUGUUCGGAAUUACUGGGCGUAAAGGGCUCGUAGGCGGCCAACUAAGUCCGACGUGAAAUCCCAAGGCUUAACCUUGGAACUGCGUCGGAUACUGGAUGGCUUGAAUUCGGGAGAGGGAUGCAGAAUUCCAGGUGUAGCGGUGAAAUGCGUAGAUAUCUGGAGGAAUACCGGUGGCGAAGGCGGCAUCCUGGACCGACAUUGACGCUGAGGAGCGAAGGCGUGGGGAGCGAACGGG